GGGCGGCUGCAGGCGCUAAGGCGGCGACUGGGGGAGUCGCUGCUGAGGCGGCCGCGGGCCCGGGUCGCGUCGGCGUAGCUCCGCGCGGCCGAGCCGGGCUGGCAGCAGCUGGCGCCUGGCGGUGAGAGCGGGCUCCCGGAUGGGUGGAAUGGCCCUCACCUAGGGCGGUGGGAGAAGCAGCUGAGCCGAGGAUGCUGGGGAGGCGGCGCGGCGGCUCCUCACUCAUCCCAGCUCAGCUUUGGCCACGAGCUUGCUGAUCACGACUACAGCCUCAGCCUACUAGAGCUCUUCACCGUCCUUGCUCACCUGCCGCCUGGAGCAUCACUUACACUGGCAGCACGGUUGGGCAUGUGUGCUACGCUCCAGUUCAAAUUGAGUGAUCUCCCAUUGAUUCCAGCAGCAAAGCCUCCAGGCCUUGUAGUUUGCCCUGCCCUGCAGAACCUCUGUACCUGCUGAAUAUUGAUCAUCUUUCUGAAGUAGAAUCUCCAUGGCCUGAAAGUUUUCUGAAAAACAUUUGUAGCAAAAUAUCUGUUUAAUAGCAAGAUAACCCCAUCAAGAUGGUUGGAAAACUGAAGCAGAACUUACUAUUGGCAUGUCUGGUGAUUAGUUCUGUGACUGUAUUUUACUUGGGCCAACACGCCAUGGAAUGCCAUCACCGAAUAGAAGAACGUAGCCAGCCCCUCAAAUUGGAGAACACAAAGACCACUGUGCGAACUGGCCUGGACAUCAAAGCCAAUAAAACCUUUGCCUAUCACAAAGAUAUGCCUUUAAUAUUUAUUGGAGGUGUGCCUCGGAGUGGAACCACACUCAUGAGGGCCAUGCUAGAUGCACACCCUGAUAUUCGCUGUGGAGAGGAAACCAGGGUCAUUCCUCGAAUCCUGGCUCUGAAGCAGAUAUGGUCACGGUCGAGUAAAGAGAAAAUACGCUUGGAUGAGGCUGGUGUCACCGAUGAAGUGCUGGAUUCUGCCAUGCAGGCCUUCUUACUAGAAAUCAUUGUUAAGCAUGGGGAGCCAGCCCCUUAUUUAUGUAAUAAAGAUCCUUUUGCCCUGAAAUCCUUAACUUACCUUGCUAGGUUAUUCCCCAAUGCCAAAUUUCUCCUGAUGGUCCGUGAUGGCCGGGCAUCAGUACAUUCAAUGAUUUCUCGAAAAGUUACAAUCGCUGGAUUUGACCUGAACAGCUAUAGGGACUGUUUGACCAAGUGGAAUCGUGCCAUAGAGACCAUGUAUAACCAGUGUAUGGAGGUUGGCUAUAAAAAAUGCAUGUUAGUUCACUAUGAGCAACUUGUCUUACACCCUGAACGGUGGAUGAGAACACUCUUAAAGUUCCUCCAAAUUCCUUGGAACCACUCAGUAUUACACCAUGAAGAGAUGAUUGGGAAAGCUGGGGGAGUAUCUCUGUCAAAAGUGGAGAGAUCUACAGACCAGGUCAUCAAGCCAGUCAAUGUGGGAGCUCUAUCAAAAUGGGUUGGGAAGAUACCUCCAGAUGUUUUACAAGACAUGGCGGUGAUUGCACCCAUGCUUGCCAAACUUGGAUAUGACCCGUAUGCCAAUCCACCUAACUAUGGAAAACCUGAUCCCAAAAUCCUUGAAAACACUAGAAGGGCUGUCUUUUCAAGAAUAGAAGUUCCUGGGACUUCCCUGGCAGUCCAGUGGUUAAGACUCCGUGCUCUCAAUGCAGGGGGCACGGGUUCGAUCCCCGGUCAGGGAACUAAGGUCCGCAUGCUGCAUGGCACCGCCGAAAACAAACAAACAAACAAAGAAUAGAAGUUCCUAUGCUCAAGCUAAUGAAUGGCUGCAGGUCUAUAAAGGAGAAUUUCAGCUACCUGAAUUUCUUAAAGGAAAACCUCAGACUGAGCAAGUGGAAUAACAGAGCCAGGAACCUCUUGCAUACUUGAGGGAAGACUGCUGCCUUUUCAGCAGCAGAGAAGUUUCUAGGACUGGCUGUUUCUAGAACUGGCUGUCCCCUGCUGAGAUCAGUGGAGCAUAGGUACCAUGGCCCGCAUCUCUUUCUCAUUUGCCAGUUCUUCCCACUGAGAGGGUGGGAUGUCAGCACACAUUCGGACCCUCCUGAGUGACCUGCUUCUUCCCGAGUACAGUGCUCUUGAUUACGUGCACGGGCCUGUGGAGAAGGAGCCCAGAGAGGAUGUGUGCUUUCUCUUAAAACUGCUCUGGUCCUCAUCUUUUCUUACCAGAUUCCAAACUUUGUUUUCAAGGGGAGGGUUUAAAGAUGGGAUUCUGUAAGCAAAAUUGGGUAGUUUCAUCUUGGAAUAGGUUGUCUGUACAUGUUCUAAUGUUUUGUAGAACACUUGUACCUGUUUAAAUGUAUUGAUGUGGAUAAUAUUAAAUAUCUUAAUUAUUUAAAUAAUUCAUUGUAUUGUUUCUGAGAAGUUGAGGAAUUACCACAUACAUUUACAACUUGAUGACUUUUGUAUUUUAUUUUUCAAAAUAAAAGCUUUAAA